rnacentral:rRNA from 1 species
GACGAACGCUGGCGGCGUGCUUAACACAUGCAAGUCGAACGGAAAGGCCCUGCUUUUGUGGGGUGCUCGAGUGGCGAACGGGUGUGUAACACGUGAGUAACCUGCCCUUGUCUUUGGGAUAACUUCAGGAAACUGGGGCUAAUACCGGAUAGGAGCUCCUGCUGCAUGGUGGGGGUUGGAAAGUUUCGGCGGUUGGGGAUGGACUCGCGGCUUAUCAGCUUGUUGGUGGGGUAGUGGCUUACCAAGGCUUUGACGGGUAGCCGGCCUGAGAGGGUGACCGGCCACAGUGGGACUGAGAGACGGCCCAGACUCCUACGGGAGGCAGCAGUGGGGAAUAUUGCACAAGGGGCGGAAGCCUGAUGCAGCAACGCCGCGUGCGGGAUGACGGCCUUCGGGUUGUAAACCGCUUUCGCCUGUGACGAAGCGUGAGUGACGGUAAUGGGUAAAGAAGCACCGGCUAACUACGUG